UAGGGAAUCUUCCGCAAUGGGCGAAAGCCUGACGGAGCAACGCCGCGUGAGUGAUGAAGGUCUUCGGAUCGUAAAACUCUGUUAUUAGGGAAGAACAAAUGUGUAAGUAACUAUGCACGUCUUGACGGUACCUAAUCAGAAAGCCACGGCUAACUACGUGCCAGCAGCCGCGGUAAUACGUAGGUGGCAAGCGUUAUCCGGAAUUAUUGGGCGUAAAGCGCGCGUAGGCGGUUUUUUAAGUCUGAUGUGAAAGCCCACGGCUCAACCGUGGAGGGUCAUUGGAAACUGGAAAACUUGAGUGCAGAAGAGGAAAGUGGAAUUCCAUGUGUAGCGGUGAAAUGCGCAGAGAUAUGGAGGAACACCAGUGGCGAAGGCGACUUUCUGGUCUGUAACUGACGCUGAUGUGCGAAAGCGUGGGGAUGAAACAG
rnacentral:rRNA from 1 species